GCAUUCGUGGUGUAACGGUAGCACACUUGGCGCUUAUUCGAGAGGUCCAGGUUCGAGUCCCGGCAAGGGCG
rnacentral:tRNA from 1 species